rnacentral:rRNA from 1 species
UACAGAGGGUGCAAGCGUUAAUCGGAGUUACUGGGCGUAAAGGGCGCGUAGGCGGAUUUGCAAGUGAGAUGUGAAAUCCCUGGGCUUAACCUAGGAAUUGCAUUUUAGACUGUGAGUCUGGAGUACAGUAGAGGGUGGUGGAAUUUCCGGUGUAGCGGUGAAAUGCGUAGAGAUCGGAAGGAACAUCAGUGGCGAAGGCGACCACCUGGACUGUAACUGACGCUGAGGCGCGAAAGCGUGGGUAGCAAACAGG